UUGUAAAUUUAGAAUGACUCAGAAUUAUUUGGUAGGACAAUCAGAGUUAAUAUUGCUAAACCCAUGAAAAUUAAAGAAGGUUCUGUUAAACCAGUAUGGGCUGAUGAUAGUUGGUUAAAGGAAUAUGCUGGCAAAACACUUAAUGAAAGUGAAGAAACAGAAGAUAAUAAUAAAAGACCUGCUGAAGAAUCACUGG